rnacentral:rRNA from 1 species
UACGAAGGGGGCUAGCGUUGCUCGGAAUUACUGGGCGUAAAGCGCACGUAGGCGGCUUUCUAAGUCGGUGGUGAAAUCCUGGAGCUCAACUCCAGAACUGCCUUUGAUACUGAGGAUCUUGAGUUCGGGAGAGGUGAGUGGAACUGCGAGUGUAGAGGUGAAAUUCGUAGAUAUUCGCAAGAACACCAGUGGCGAAGGCGGCUCACUGGCCCGAUACUGACGCUGAGGCACGAAAGCGUGGGGAGCAAACAGG